rnacentral:ncRNA from 1 species
GCAUAGGGAGCUUAUAUUAUAGGCUGAGAGGAAGUUUUUAACUUCGACCUUUGAACCUGAUCUAGGUAAUUCUAGCGUAGGGAUUUGUUUUUACA